UACGGAGGGUGCAAGCGUUAUCCGGAUUCACUGGGUUUAAAGGGUGCGUAGGUGGGUCUUGUAAGUCAGUGGUGAAAUCUCCAAGCUUAACUUGGAACUGCCGUUGAUACUAUAGAUCUUGAAUGCUGUGGAGGUGAGCGGAAUAUGUCAUGUAGCGGUGAAAUGCUUAGAUAUGACAUAGAACACCAAUUGCGAAGGCAGCUCACUACCCAGAUAUUGACACUGAGGCACGAAAGCGUGGGGAUCAAACAGG
rnacentral:rRNA from 1 species